GUCUAUGGCCAUGCUACCCUGAACAACAAGCCCGAUCCCGUCUGAUCUUGGAAACUAAGCUGGUUCGGGCCUGGUUAGUACUUGGAUGGGAGACCACCUAGGAAGACCAGGUGCUGUAGGUG
rnacentral:rRNA from 1 species